GAUCAGGACACCUCAGUUCGACUUCUCAAAAUGAGGUUCCCUGCUCAGCUCCUGGGGCUGCUGAUGCUCUGGGUCCCUGGAUGCAGUGGGGAUGUUGUGAUGACCCAGUCUCCACUCUCCCUGUCUGUCCCCCUUGGAGAGCCGGCCUCCAUCUCAUGCAGAUCUAGUCAGAGCCUUCUACACAGUAAUGGAAACACCUAUUUGUAUUGGUACCUGCAGAAGCCAGGCCAGUCUCCACAGCUCCUGAUCUAUAGGGUUUCGAACAGGGCCUCUGGAGUCCCAGACAGGUUCAGUGGCAGUGGGUCAGGCACUGAUUUCACACUAAAAAUCAGCAGGGUGGCAGCUGAGGAUGUUGGAGUUUAUUACUGCCAACAACAUAUAAAAUAUCCUCCCACAGUGGUACAGCCCCGAGCACAAACCUCCCUGCUUGCUGAAGCCUAGCUGCCCACAUGUGUUUUUUGUCUGGGGAGCAG